UUCUUUCAGCUUCAUCUUUGGUCUCAGCAGAUGCGUAAGCUUUAACAUUGGUUUUGGCCGAUUCGUCUAAUUGACCCUUGGCAUUUUCUUCAUUUUUUGCUUCAGCAUCUUUCUUUUCUUUCUUUUCAGCUUCAAGUUCCGCAUUAGUAAAAGAUUGAGCUUGAGCCUCUGCUUUCGUUUUUGCAUUAGCGUAAGUUUUGGCUUCAUCUAUUUUUUGAGAUUGUGCUUUGGCAUCUGUAUUUACUUCGGCUUGAUCCUUUGCUUCUGCAUUUGCAUCAACUUCAACAUUAGCUUCGGCAUCAGCUUUAGCAGAUGCAUCGGAUUUAGCCUUCGCAUUUUCUUCAUUUUCUUCUUCAAUAUCUUUCUUUUCUUUAUUUUCAGCUUCAGUUUCCGCUUUAGCGAAAGCUUGAGCUUGACCCUCUACUUUUGUUUUUGCGUUAGAAUAAGUAUUGGCUUCAACUAGUUUUUGAGAUUGUGCAUUGGCAUCCGUAUUUACUUCAACAUCAUCUUUGGCCUCAGUGGUAGCAUCAGUUUUGGCAUUGACCUCAGCAUUAGCUUUAGCAGAAGCAUAAAUUUUUCCCUUGGUAUUUUCUUGAUUUUUGGCUUCGGCGUCUUUAUUUUCUUGAUCUUUUGCUUCAUUUUUUGCAUUUGCAUAUUCUUGAGCUUUAGACUCUGCUUUUGCUUCAACGUUAGCAUCAUCUUGAGAUUCUGAAUUGGCAUCAUCGUUUUCAAAAUUUGCUUCAGUAGAUGCAUCGUUUUUUUCUUUAGCGUUAUAUUCAUUUUCACCAUUUUUGUCUUCACCUUUAUCUCCUGUGUCAACUUGAGCAUCAUCUUUUACUUUUGCUUCAUCAUUGACCUCAACCUUUGCAUCCGUUUCAGCAUUGGCUUUGACAUUAGCUUCAGCAGAUGCAUCACUAUUUGCCUUAGUAUUUUCUUCAUUUUUGGCUUCAACAUCUUUUUUGACCUUAUUUUUUGCCUCAUUUUCUGCAUUAGCAUAAACUUGAGCUUGAGCCUCUGCUUUUGCGGCAGCAUUAGCAUCAGCUUUAGCCUCUACUUUUUUUUCGGAUUGUGCAUUUGCAUCUGCAUUUACUUCAGCAUCAUCCUUUGCUUCGGCAUUUGUAUUAGCAUCAGCAUUAGCUUCGGCAUCAGCUUUAGCAGAUGCAUCAGAUUUAGCCUUGUCAUUUUCUUCAUGUUUUGCUUCAGUAUCUUUAUUUUCUUUAUUUUUAGCUUCGGCUUCUGCAUUAGCAUAAACUUGAGCUUGAGCCUCUGCUUUUGCUGCAGCAUUAGCAUCAGCUUUAGCCUCAGUUAUUUUUUGGGAUUGUGCAUUAACAUCAGCAUUUACUUCAGCUUCAUCUUUGGCCUCGACCUUUGCAUCAGCUUUGGCAUUGGCUUCAGCAUUGGCUUCAGCAGAUGCCUCAGAUUUGACUUUGUUAUUUUCUUCAUUUUUUGCUUCUGUGUCAUCAUUUUCUCUAUUCUUGGCUUCAUCUUCUGCUUUAGCGUAUACUUGAGCUUGAGCCUCUGUUUUUGCUUCAGCAUUAGCAUCAACUUUAGCCUCUGCCUUUUUUUUAGAUUGGGCAUUGGCAUCGGCAUUUACUUCGACUUCAGCCUUGGCCUCUGCAAUUGCGGCAGCUUUUGCAUUAGCAUCGGCAUUAGCUUCAGCAGAUGCAUCACUAUUUGCCUUAGCAUUUUGUUCAUUUUUGGCUUCAACAUCUUUUUUUACUUUAUUUUUUGCUUCUUCUUCUGCAUUAGCAUAAACUUGAGCUUGAGCCUCUGCUUUUGCUGCAGCAUUAGCGUAAGUUUGAGCUUCUGCUCUUUUUUCGGAUUGUGCACUGGCAUCUGCUUUUACUUCAACUUCAGCAUUGGCUGCGGCAACUGCAUAAACUUUUGCACUAGCUUCGGCUUUAGCUUCAGCAGAUGCAUAAGAUUUUGCUUUAGCAAUUUCUUCAUUUUUGGCUUCAGCAUCUUUAGUUUCUUUAGUCUUUGCUUCAGCUUCUGCAUUAGCGUAAUCGUGCGCUUUAGCCUCAGCGUUUGCUUCAGCUUUUGCAUAGGUUUUUGCCUCAGCUUCUUUUUGAGAUUUUGCAAUAGUAUUAGCAUUUUUUUCAGUUUCAUCCUUGGCCUCGGCAAUUGCAUAAGCUUUAGUAUUGGCUUUAGCAGAUGUAUCUGAUUGACUUUUGGCUUUUGCUUCAUUUUUAGCUUCCAUAUCUUUCUUUUCUUUAUUUUCAGCUUUAAUUUCUACGUUAGCGAAGGCUUGAGCUUGAGCCUCUGCCUUCGCUUUUGCGUUAGCAUCAGCUUUGGCCUCAACUAUUUUUUGAGAUUGUUCAUUAGCAUUGAAAUUUACUUCAGUUUCAUCCUUGGCCUCGGCACUUGCAUAAGCUUUAGCAUUGGCUUCAGCUUUAGCUUUAGCAGAUGCAUAUGUUUUUGCUUUUGCAUAUUCUUCAUUUUCAGCUUCAACAUCUUUCUUUUCUUUCUUUUCAGCUUCAGUUUCCGCAUCCGCAAAAGCUUGAGCUUGAUUUUCAGCUUUAGCUUUAGCAUCAGCAUCAACUUUAGCCUCUACUUUUUUUUCGGACUGUGCAUUUGCAUCUGCAUUUACUUCAACGUCGCCCUUUGCUUCUGCAUUUGCAUCAGCUUCAGCAUUAGCUUUGGCAUCAGCUUUAGCAGAUGCAUCAGAUUUAGCCUUGGCGUUUUCAUCAUUUUUCGUAUUAGCAUCUUUAUUUUCCCUAUUUUUAGCUUCAACUUCUGCAUUAGCAAAAACUUGAGCUUGAGUCUCUGCCUUUGCUGCAGCAUUUGCAUCAACUUUAGCCUCAACUAUUUUUUGGGAUUGUGCAUUGGCAUCAGCAUUUACUUCAGCUUCAUCUUUGGCCUCGGCCUUUGCAUCAGCUUUGGCAUUGGCUUUGGCACUAGCUUCAACAGAUGCAUCAGAUUUAGCUUUGUUAUUUUCUUCAUUUUUUGCUUCAGUGUCUUUAUUUUCUCUAAUUUUGGCUUCAUCUUCUGCUUUAGCGUAUACUUGAGCUUGAGCCUCUGCUUUUGUUGCAGCAUUAGCAUCAGCUUUAGCUUCAGUUAUUUUUUGGGAUUGUGCAUUAACAUUAGCAUUUACUUCAUCUUCAUCUUUGGUCUCGGCCUUUGCAUCAGCUUUGGCAUUGGCUUCAGCGUUGGCUUCAGCAGAUGCCUCGGAUUUAACUUUGUUAUUUUCUUCAUUUUUAGCUUUAACAUCUCUAUUUUUCCUAUUUUUGGCUUCAACUUCUGCAUUAGCAUACACUUGAGCUUGAGCCUCUGCUUUUGCUGCGGCAUUAGCAUUAGCUUUAGCCUCUGCUAUUUUUUGGGAUUGUGCAUUGGAAUCUGCAUUUACUUCGGCUUCAUCCUUAACCUCAGCAGUUGCGUCAGCUUUGGCAUUGGCCUUAGCAUUAGCUUUAGCGGAUUCAUCUGCUUUUGCCUCGGUAUCUUGUUCAUUUUUAGCUUCGUUAUUUUUUUCUUCUGAGUUUUUGGCUUCUGCUACUUCUAUUUCAUCGACGCCUUCAGCAUCAUAUUGUGAUUCAUCUUUAUUUUCAGAAUCCGCAUCGACUUCAUUAUCAUCUGUAUCAUUUUCAUCUAUGACUUCAAGAUUGUUAGCAUCUUGUUCCUUUUCUUCUUGAUUAUUGGUAUUUUCACCUUGAUCCUUGCUUUCAAAUUUUGCUUCAUCUUUUCCUUCAUCUUCAACUUCGGACGUAUCUUUGCUUAUAGCUUUGUCGUCGUAAUUAGCUUCAUCUUGAGCUUUUGCCUCAUCUUUUGAUUCAAAUUUAGCUUCAUUUUUCGCAGCAUCUAUAGCUUUAUCCUCACUUUUGGAUUCAACCAAAGCAUCAUCUUCAGCUUUAUCUUCAUCCUUGGCUUCAGCUUUGGCUUCGGUUUUGGCAUUAUCCUUGGCUUCAACUACAUCGUCAGCUUUUUUCUCAACUUCAUUGUAUUGAUUUUCUUCAUCUAAUACAUCAUCUUUUUCUUUAGAUUCAGCAUCAGCCUUUGCUUCAGCUUUGGCUUCGGCCUUGGCUUCAACUUUAGCCUCAGCUUUGGUAUCACCAUGUUUUGCAUCAAUUUUCCCUUCAGCUUCGUAAUUAUGUUCGGAUUUGGCAUCAUCUUUGAUUUUUGCUUUAAACUUAUCUUCAGCUUUUGUGUCAUCAUUGGCUUUAGAUUGAGCUUUAUCUUCAACCUGAGCUUGGUUUUGGGCCGUCGCUUCAUAGUUAUCUUUUUCUCUAACAUCAGCUUGAGCUUUGCUUUUAUUUUCAGCUUCCGCUUCACUUUCAGCAUUAGCUUGAGCUUGAGCCUGGGCUUUGGCCUGAGCCUGAGCUUGCGCUUGAGCCUGAUCUUUAGCCUCAACAUAGGAAUCUACCUUAGUCUUGUUCUUGUCUUUAUCUGCUUCUAUCGUCUCUUUUUUCUCCUCAACAUUUUCUUUUUUGGUAUCUUUGUUGAUCUUUUCAACCUGAGUGUCACAUUUCUUUUCCUGGGCGGAAGUUAUUGGGGAUGAUGAAAGAAAAAGGGUGAGGAGAAGGGAAAUGGUAAGAAAGAUGGUCUUAUUGAAAUGAGCCAUCGAUGGAUUGUCUUCUUUAUUUUUUAUUUUUUUAUUUUGUGCUUCAUCAAGCAAGCUUCUACACUUUGAUGCGUUGCUUGUUCUUGAAGGUAUUUGUAGAACUGGUGGUAGAAUUGUAACCAACACAACCCAACCAACACCCGCUGCAUAUAGUUUACAAGGACGUCAUUUGUUGAUUUUAAACCAUUCUUCCUUUCCUAUUUUCUAAAGGCUUGUUUUCCUUCAUCUAAUUACAAACAAUUGUCAUGUUUGCUAUUCUUAAUUCAGUUAGCAUGCAACUACUAGAUAAUAUCAUUGAUUGGUUUAUGAUAUUAUUAUUGGUAAUCCUAGAAAAGAAAAUGAUCAACUCUAUUGGUGUCUAUCAUUAGGGACAUGACAAAAAUAUUUUCAUUUUGUCGAAGCAAGUUACAACACAUCCAAAGUGUUGUCGACGCAAUGGAUUGUUGAAGAACAUAAACCAAGAUUCCAGCAAUGUGCUUUGUCGGCUUCGAUGCAAUGGGCAAAUCUAGAAGAGAGGAAGAGUAACAAUGAGCAAUCUUUGAAACCACAAUUGUUAGCAUUUCAAAUAGUCUUGCUUGCUUGCAUACCCAUCCAAAACCCACAAUUGACAAAACAUUAUCUUUGUUGCUAUCCAAAA
rnacentral:lncRNA from 1 species